GUUCCGGGUUCCAGCUACUAUUCAUCUCUGGGUUCUGGGUUCCAGCUUCCAGCUUCCAGGUUCCGGAUCCUAGGUCCCGGAUCCCAGGUCCUGGAUCCCAGGUCCCGAAUCCCAGGUCCCGGAUCCACGUCCCGGGUCUACGGCUACCCACCUUACAUAGAGGUGAAAUCCAAUGGCUCCGCGAAAAAGCAAGCUCCGACCACCUUACAACCGCUUUUCCCGGCAACAAACCCUGAUAUACCUCUAAAGGAAAUUAAGGCCUUUUACCCCCUACAAACUCCCGGGGAAACUCAGGAUCCGUGUCUCUCCAAGUCUCCAAGGCUGCACCCCUCGAAAAGUUGUAAGAAACGGAAUUUCCCAGUGAAGGACUCAAGAAUACGCUAGUCUACAAGGAAGUAGGUCCAAGGCACGUACCUUCCUGAAUUUCUACGAAAGAGAUAACUGAGAGAAAAGAGGGGGCAAACGAGUUAACACUCAACCCAAGGAGCAAACAUGCGUCAACAAAUCUUGUUGGCUUGCCCACUAAAGGAGGAUUCAAGACAAAGCGACGGGUCAUUUAGUGUCAUCCAAGAAACGCUGAGAGUGGCUCACCCAAGAGGGAGCAGAGAGCGGGCAGAAGAAGUUACUAAACGACAUCGACAAAAAGAGAAUAUCUACAGAUCCUCAUGUGCCAGAGCACUAGUCCAAAGGAGCCUCCAGGUUCUCAAGGAUAAAUCUACUGGUCCUCCAAGGGAAGUAGCCUCCACGC
rnacentral:lncRNA from 1 species